UUAUGGCCAUAUCACAUUGAAACACCGAUUCUCGUACGAUCACUGAAGUUAAGCAACUGAGCCUGGUCGAUACCUAGAUGGGUAACCGCUUGGGAAUACCACGUGCUGU